AGACCAUUGCAUACACUAGCAAGAUUUUGCUGAAAGGCCCCAGAUAUAGCUGUCUCUUGUGAGACUAUGCUGGGGCCUAGCAAACACAGAAGUGGAUGCUCAUAUUCAGCUAUUGGAUGGAUCACAGGGCCCCCAAUGAAGGAGCUAGAGAAAGUACUCAAGGAGCUAAAGGGAUCUGCAACCCUAUAGGUGGAACCGCAUUUUGAACUAACCAGUACCAUGGAGCUCUUGACUCUAGCUGCAUAUGUAUCAAAAGAUGGCCUAGGAGGCCAUCACUGGAAAGAGAGACCCAUUGGACACAUAAACUUUAUAUGCCCCAGUACAGGGGAAUGCCAGGGCCAAAAAAUGGGAAUGGGUGGUUAGGGAAGUGGAGGGAGGGUAUGGGGGGACUUUUGGGAGAGCAUUGGAAAUGUAAUUGAGGAAAAUAUGUAAUAAAAAAUAUUUUAAAAAAAGCUAUAAUG
rnacentral:lncRNA from 1 species